rnacentral:sRNA from 1 species
UCCAGCAGCCGCGGUAAUACGGAGGGUGCAAGCGUUGUUCGGAAUUAUUGGGCGUAAAGCGCGUGUAGGCGGCUUUGCAAGUCGGGUGUGAAAGCCCUCAGCUCAACUGAGGAAGUGCGCCCGAAACUGCAGAGCUUGAGUGCCGGAGAGGGUGGCGGAAUUCCCCAAGUAGAGGUGAAAUUCGUAGAUAUGGGGAGGAACACCGGUGGCGAAGGCGGCCACCUGGACGGUAACUGACGCUGAGACGCGAAAGCGUGGGGAGCAAACAGGAUUAGAUACCCUGGUAGUCCACGCCGUAAACGAUGAGAACUAGGUGUCGUGGGAGUUGACCCCCGCGGUGCCGUAGCUAACGCAUUAAGUUCUCCGCCUGGGAAGUACGGUCGCAAGACUAAAACUCAAAGGA